ACAUCAAAAAUACAAAUAAUAUAAGGAACAUCAAAUUUUUGUUAGUUAAAUGAAACGUGGAACCCGACUACGAAAUUAAACAGCGCAAAAAAUUGGUACUCGGAACGUGUUCUAAAUUAUUACGUUAUUUCGAAAAAAUCAGCGCGACCAGUCUCAGACAAAAGUAUCCACAAAAUUCGUCUGCAGCGUCCAUUAACUUGAUCAGCUGCUCAACCUCAUUACAAUUUGUUCAAAAAAAAAUAAUAAUAAUAAAAAAAAACCAUGUCGACUGCCCAAGUCUCAAUAGCAGCGUCUGCAUCAGCAGUAGCCACUUAGUUACGGGGAAUGUCAUUUCCGAGUGUCGGCAAUGACGUCUCUUGGACUAAUAGGUGGACUCUAUCUCGUCCCACCUGUACCAACACCUGGGCCAAAAGACAACCAUGCGCACCAUCCAGCCCAAAACUACACUAGAGUCGUCAGCUCUACCAGGACCAUCCAGGAGAUGCCAUGAUCGCUGCUUGGACCUCAUAUCAAAUGCAUCAACUCUUGACACGAACUUUGAACAGAUCUAGCAGAUCUAGCAUACCUAGAAAUCCAUAACAGCGUCUGCAUCAGCAGCAUUACCAAGUGUCGGUAAUGACAGCUCAAGAACUCCUGUGUACUUAUCCUUAUGCCGUCGGGACGAAGAGCUGAGCUAAAACCCAACCGUGCACACCUUCCAGGCCGAGCCCAGACUGCAUUGAGUGGAGUUCAAUCAUAAUCAUCGGGAAUUAUGAGACGCACCUAUACAGAUCCAGUAAGAGGGAUUAUUUGGCUUUGCUCAUGCACAUCUUGACAUUCUCAUCCAGCAGCGCGCCCAGUCUCAGACAAAAGUAUCCACAACAUUUGUCUGCGGCAUCUAUUAACCUCAAUCUCAAUUCCAUUUCAUAAAGUCUUGGCUCGCACUUCAAGUAGAACAGGCAGCACUUCCAAUGUCGACUGCCUAAGGAUCAAUAGCAGCGUCUGCAUCAGCAGCAGCCACGAUGUCAGAGUAAUGCCGUUUCCGAGUGUCGGCAAUGGCAUCUCUAUGACUACUCGAAGUACUUUCUCUCAUCCCACCAGGACUCUAACUCCUGGUCCAAAACACAACCUUGCGCGCCAUCCAGCCGAAAACCACACCAAACUGCAGCAUCCAUCAAAGUGAUCCGCUGCUCAUCUCAUUGCGAGUUAAGCAAUUCUUGGCUAGGACGUCUACUAUAGCAGGCUCAGAUCCAGGAUUAGCAGUGCAGUCACUGGAAUUCUCUUCUUGGACUACUGGCUAUACUCUUUUUCGUCCCUCCUGAACUGACACUUGAUAGUUUUGCAUCAAUAAAAAAAUUCUUUCCCAUAAAAAAUUAUAUAAUAUGGAA